UACGUAGGGUGCGAGCGUUGUCCGGAAUUAUUGGGCGUAAAGAGCUCGUAGGCGGUCUGUCGCGUCUGCUGUGAAAUCCCGAGGCUCAACCUCGGGCUUGCAGUGGGUACGGGCAGGCUAGAGUGCGGUAGGGGAGAAUGGAACUCCUGGUGUAGCGGUGGAAUGCGCAGAUAUCAGGAAGAACACCGAUGGCGAAGGCGGUUCUCUGGGCAUGAUCUGACGCUGAGGAGCGAAGGUGUGGGGAGCGAACAGG
rnacentral:rRNA from 1 species